rnacentral:rRNA from 1 species
AGAGUUUGAUCCUGGCUCAGGACGAACGCUAGCGGCGUGCCUAAGGUAUGCAAGUCGAGCGAUUGCUGUUCUUCGGAACAGCGAUAGCGGCGAACGGUUGAGUAACACGUAGACAACCUGCCUCCAGGUGGGGAAUAACUUCGGGAAACCGGAGCUAAUACCGCAUGUGGCGAUGUCGGGCAUCCGAUGUUUGCUAAAGGAGUAAUUCGCCUGGAGAUGGGUCUGCGGCCUAUCAGCUUGUUGGUGGGGUAACGGCCUACCAAGGCUACGACGGGUAGCUGGUCUGAGAGGACGAUCAGCCAGACGGGGACUGAGACACGGCCCCGACUCCUUCGGGAGGCAGCAAUGAGGAAUAUUGCGCAAUGGGGGAAACCCUGACGCAGCGACGCCGCGUGGGUGAGGAAGUCCUUCGGGAUGUAAAGCCCUUUUAUCGGGGACGAGAAUGGACGGUACCCGA